rnacentral:rRNA from 1 species
GACGAACGCUGGCGGCGGGCUUAACACAUGCAAGUCGAACGGAAAGGCCCUGCUUUUGUGGGGUGCUCGAGUGGCGAACGGGUGAGUAACACGUGAGUAACCUGCCCUUGACUUUGGGAUAACUUCAGGAAACUGGGGCUAAUACCGGAUAGGAGCUCCUGCUGCAUGGUGGGGGUUGGAAAGUUUCGGCGGUUGGGGAUGUACUCGCGGCUUAUCAGCUUGUUGGUGGGGUAGUGGCUUACCAAGGCUUUGACGGGUAGCCGGCCUGAGAGGGUGACCGGCCACAUUGGGACUGAGAUACGGCCCAGACUCCUACGGGAGGCAGCAGUGGGGAAUAUUGCACAAUGGGCGGAAGCCUGAUGCAGCAACGCCGCGUGCGGGAUGACGGCCUUCGGGUUGUAAACCGCUUUCGCCUGUGACGAAGCGUGAGUGACGGUAAUGGGUAAAGAAGCACCGGCUAACUACGUG